GCCAGAGGGGCAGAUCCGGACGAUCUUGACCAUCUAAUCACAAAAACCAACAGCUCAGAUUUCUUCUAAAACAUUGUUAGACGCCACCGUCACAUCCCACCAUCAACAAAUCAGCGAACCGUGGAAGGACAAAACAGAACCGCUAUGCACGAUCCCCAUUUCCCCAUCCCCAAACGCUGCACACAUCGCCGCACGCUGUCAGCCCCGUUCCCUCCGCACGCCCACGCCGCCGCCGCGCACUGCAGUCCGUCCCCCGCGCACGCCGCCCCCAAGUACACCGCCGCACACGCUGCAUGCCGCCCCCAAGCAAGCCAACACUCUGCAGGCCGCCCGCAAUCAACCGCCGCGCACUGAAGGCCGCCACGCUGGAGGCCGCCCCCAAGCACGCACAGCCCCGCCCGAUCCCAUCCCCUCUCAUGUUUUUCCGCAACCAUCGUCUGCAGAACGCGACGACACCGGCGCCAACCUGCACACGCUGACCCGCCCGCCUCAACGCCCUGCGCGCGCCAACCUCUCCGGCAUGAGGACGCCGCCGCGCCUUCCUGCCCGACGCUAGGGCGCCGCUGAUGCACAGCCCAGCGCGAGGAUGCCGCGAGCGAGCCGCCACCGCUGCCUGCACCUAUCCGUCCACAUGCACCGACCAUUCGUCUUCACCAGCCCGUCCCUACACCAGGUGUGAAGAAAAUCCACUGUCUACAUUAUUGCCACAAAGCAUAAACGAAUGGCAGGCCACACUAGAUGCCAGGUUCAAUGGUGGAUUAUUGAGCAAUAAUCUUCAAGCAUCCUCUCUGAUCUAUCAGCGGCUAGCAAGCUGCGCAGCACUGCCAUCUGCAGCAUGAAGGUAAUUGCAGUGUUCCUGCUCCUGCAGAUGCUCUUGACAAGCCAGGAACUCUGAUGUCAAAUCCUAUCUCUCAAAGUGGCAUCAAAAUUAACACUGGUCUAAAAUCAUUUUCAAAAUGGUCUCUCGAUUCAGGUAUGAGUGCAAGUCCAUCCAGUGUAGUUUUCAAAAGAUCCUUUUUGGACAGGUCCUCGCAUAUUCAGAACUCUACGUUGUACAGUAAACGGUGGAGUUGUUCAGUAAUAAUAUAUCUUUCAUGACUAUCAAUCAAUAUUAAGUGCACUUUUUUCCUUUAGAAAUUCAUCUUCUGCAAUUUGGUUAUGAAAUCCCAAAUGUAUUUGUCUCUUUUUUUCCUGAGACAAAAACUGGUCUUUUUUCAUCUCCACUAAUAUAAAAGCUGUUUGAAUCUAAUUACCAUCAAGUUCAGUUAGUACUCCUGAUAUAUACAACGCUCAUCGCCUUUGGGUACUAAUCCUUUUCCUUUUGUCUUAUUUUUCCAUUUGUUCCCGCAGCCAGCAGGAAGAGUCAGGCUAUAUCAAGAAAUACAAAUUUCUUACCAGCAGUCAAGCCUCGGCGACAAUUUCCUCGCCUGAUUCAUCACGCUUGCCUCACCGGUCAGGUCUGAAACUCUGCCCUCACAUUUGGGUUGUGGACAUGUUGUCAUGGCAAACUUACUCUUCCAUGAUGCAGGUCAUGCCCUCAUCCUUUGUUCCGUGAUAUGAUUGUUCCUGAUCAUGAGAGGAGGUUAGGAGAUAUAGGUUAUGACAGUCUUGAACCCUUUUCCGAGCUUUUGCUAAAGCCAAACAACUGAAGGUAUUUACAAUGAUGGUAUUUUUAGAAAAGAUGGUAUCAGUGGUCAUGGGAGACACUAAAUUGGCUACGAAGGAGGUCACCAAGCCCAGCUACAUCACGGAGAGGCAGGUGAAACGCCAGGAUUGCGGGCAUGAGCAGCCAGGUCUGUUCGACACAUCAGUCUUCAAGCCAGGUCUGUGACUGAGUGAAGACAUUGAUGCUUUCUAGCUUCUUGGUGUCAGGUAACAGAAAUGCAAAGAAGGCCUUGUGUUGUUGCAUGGGGCUAUAUUUGUAGUGUACUUCGGCUGGUAUAUGUGACUCUUAAGAGGUUUGUUACUAUCGUAGGGUAACAUAUUUGUUGUCAAGCCGCUUCAAAUGGUUCUUGAUGAUGUACCAACAGCUUGUGCAUUUAGACGACUUUGUAUAGAAAAAGUAAAGAUUCGUCAUAUAUGUUAAUAAU